rnacentral:lncRNA from 1 species
UGCGUGUGUGUGUGUGUGUGUGUAUGUAGUGGGUUGGGCGGACAGUCCACGUCAGUGGCUCCGUACCCCUGUUCUCCAGGGAAGAGGUGAAUGAGAGGCUCCGAGACACACCUGAUGGUACCUUCUUAGUCCGAGAUGCAUCCAGCAAGAUCCAAGGAGAGUACACGCUCACCCUCAGGAAAGGCGGGAACAACAAGCUAAUCAAAGUCUUCCACCGGGACGGUCACUAUGGCUUCUCAGAGCCCCUUACCUUCUGCUCCGUGGUAGAGCUCAUCUCCCACUACCGACAUGAGUCACUGGCCCAGUACAACGCCAAGCUGGACACGCGCCUUCUCUACCCUGUGUCCAAGUACCAGCAAGUGUGUUCUGUGCUGGGGUUACAUGGGCCUUGGCUGGGCCUGGGUUUGGGAGGGAAAGCACUAAUGGUGUGUUGUGGGUCCAGGACCAGGUGGUGAAGGAGGACAGUGUAGAGGCUGUGGGUGCCCAGCUCAAGGUCUACCACCAGCAGUACCAGGACAAGAGCCGCGAGUAUGACCAGCUCUAUGAGGAAUACACACGAACCUCCCAGGAGCUUCAGAUGAAGCGCACAGCCAUAGAGGCCUUCAACGAGACCAUCAAGAUCUUCGAAGAACAGGGCCAGACACAGGAAAAGUGCAGCAAGGAGUAUUUGGAGCGCUUCCGGCGAGAGGGCAAUGAGAAGGAGAUGCAGAGGAUCCUGCUGAACUCGGAGCGACUCAAGUCUCGAAUCGCGGAGAUACAUGAAAGCCGCACGAAGCUGGAGCAGGAUCUGCGGGCGCAGGCCUCGGACAAUCGAGAGAUUGACAAGCGCAUGAACAGCCUCAAGCCUGAUCUCAUGCAGCUGCGCAAGAUCAGGGACCAGUACCUCGUGUGGCUCACCCAGAAAGGUGCCCGACAGAGGAAGAUCAACGAGUGGCUGGGAAUCAAGAAUGAGACUGAGGACCAGUAUUCACUGAUGGAGGAUGAGGACGCCCUCCCCCACCAUGAGGAGCGCACGUGGUACGUGGGCAAGAUCAACCGCACACAGGCGGAGGAGAUGCUGAGUGGCAAACGAGACGGGACCUUCCUCAUCCGGGAGAGCAGCCAGCGGGGCUGUUACGCAUGCUCUGUGGUGAUGCCAUCCUCCCGCUGCGUCUGCCAUGUUUACAGAGGCUGCGGGGCCACUGGCCUGGGCCCCCCGAGUUCUUCAAGCCAUAUCUCCGAUUUAGAAAGGAACUGUGCUAGGUGGUUUCCAGGAACUCAGCCCUGGACACUUGGGGCUGGGCGGGACCCGCCCCGUGGACCCCAACUUCCCCUCUUAAGGUCGAAGUGAAACCAGUCACGGGGUUACCCCGCAGCUGCCGAGAAGCUCCCCCUCUGGAGGGCAAAAUACAAACUAGCCCUCGUCCAGGCCCUGCGCUGUUCUCCUGACUGUGCAAUGCCUCCCCUUUGGGACAAGGGCCCUGAGUGUGUCCCUGCUCCCUGAACCCCAUACCUGCCCAGGGUUGAUGGGCAGCAGGUUUUGUACGGUACGUUUAUUGAUACGAAUAUGAAACAUUGUACCUGUUG